GAGGGGAAAAUGGUUGGCUACAUGAAGAAGGAGAUGAUUGAAGAUUUAACGAUUGUAGGAGGCUUGAUAGGGGUGCAAUUUAUGUAUGCUGGGAACGCUGUUUUCUUGAGUUAUCUAAUGUCUCUUGGCUUUACCCCUUCUACCAUUGUCAUCUUCUCUACUUUUGCUACCUUCCUCAUCACCUCUCCUUUCGCUGUUUAUUUUGAAAGGAAGAAAUGGCCCAAGGAACUCAGUUUCAGGUUGAUGAUCCAGCUUGUUUUGAUCUCUUUUGCAGGGUAUGCAAAACUUUCUAAUAUGUUUUAAUCUAUCCUCGCAUGUUUGACAACUCAAAAUUUUGAAUUUCCAUAUAAUUUUCAAGGGUAAUGAGGGAUUUAAAGAACAUAUUUUUUUAAUGAUUUUGAUUUUCUUUCGUUUGAAAAAAAAUUGAAUGAUCUUUCAUCAUUAUUUUCAAAUUCUGGGAAUGCUUAUGAAACAGGACAUUUUUGUUCAAAAAAUUAGUUGUUGAAUAAAAUUAAUAUGUUUAGGAUUAUAUAAUAUAUUCCUCAUUAAUGACCUCAUUAUACAUAGCUGCAUGCAUACAUAUAAUAAUCUCUUCUUUAUUUAAAUAUAUAUAUAUUUAUGGAGAAACUUGUUAAAUUUUUAUUUGUAUAAUAAUUAUUGCUCAGCCUUAAUUGCUUCCGUGAAAACUCAAAAUUAUUUAUAAUUAAAAGGAUUUUUGCUGGAAUUUUACGACUCAUACAACCGAUUUUGCUUACCUAUCAUGAAACGGUUGAGAGCUCCUCAGAAUAUUAGCAAAAUUUGCCGGAUAAAAUUUUGCUUUAAUUUGUAGUAUUAUUCUGUGGUUGAAUACAUUUGUAAAAAGAGAGAAUGAAGUCACAAUUUUGAUCUUUUUAUAAAGUUGAAAGAUGUGACGAAACACGAAAGCCAUGUGCUUCUCAUCUAUGACAUUUUGUCCACUUCUAUAACGAAAGUCUUCUCAAUAUUCCUAUUAUUUUUUUCCAACAUAUUUAUAUUUUAUUCGUGCGUUUGAUGUGUCGAAUACAGAAAUUUUCUGUCUUGGAUUUUUCUUUUUCAGGGUAACUUUAUUCCAAACGUUAUUCCUGAAGGGGAUUAAGCUAACCUCACCAGCACUGGCAACAGCCAUGCCAAACCUUGCUCCAGGACUUAUUUUCCUUAUUGCUUGGAUAGCAAGGUAUAUGUGUGAUUCAUUUCUUUUUCAUCGCCAACAUAAUUGCAAGGAUUUAGUCUCUAAUAAUUAAUUAUAUAUAUGUAGUAGUUUAUAUGUAGUUUUAUGCCUCUUAAAUAAACCAGACCAUUCUGAUUCAGGCUAGAGAAAGUUAGGCUAAGCUGCGUAUACAGCAAAGUGAAGAUUGUAGGCACAUUGCUGUGUGUAGCGGGAGCCCUCCUAAUGAGUCUAAUGCACAGCUCUAAAACAGCAAAAGAUGCCGGCUUGUUAGUUCCCUCGGUGGAUGUGGUUUUUGAUAAGCAAAAGAUGAUUGGUUGCUUAUAUCUCAUGGCUGCUGUUUUUGUUCUAUCAAGCAAUGUUGUAUUGCAGGUGAAUUUUCUGUUGGAUUUGUUCUCUGUUUUGAUUGCUUGUUAAUUGAGUUGUUUGAGUUGUUGCAGGC
rnacentral:misc_RNA from 1 species